GUGAGUAUGCGUAGGAUCUACCUAGUAGUACGGAAUAGCCAUUAGAAAUGGUGGGUAAUACUGUAUAAUCCCCGAGGGGGAAAGAUUUAUCGCUAUUAGAUGAGCCUACGUUAGAUUAGCUAGUUGGUGAGGUAAUGGCUUACCAAGGCUAUGAUCUAUAGCUGGUCUGAGAGGACGAUCAGCCACACUGGAACUGAGAUACGGUCCAGACUCCUACGGGAGGCAGCAGUGGGGAAUAUUGGACAAUGGGCGAAAGCCUGAUCCAGCUAUGCCGCGUGAGUGAAGAAGGCCUUCGGGUUGUAAAACUCUUUCAAUAGGGAAGAUAAUGAC
rnacentral:rRNA from 1 species